AAGUAAUUUUACAGAGCUUUCUGGGGAACAGAACGGCAGUCGCGCCCCAGACACCGACCGAAAAAGCACCGGUACCGCUGGGGCAGCAUUCUCCCUCUAGGAACUCUUGCAUACUGGAAUGUAAACGAGGAUUUCAUUUUCCCCAGGUAAUCUUGCAAGCCAUACACCAAAGCUUUUUGCUAGCUUAAUUUUUGUACUGUCCUUAUAACUCCUGUGGAAUAAAAGGAACAUUCUGUAUGACA